ensembl:ncRNA lncRNA:CR45657 long non-coding RNA:CR45657
GCGGUCAUUAAAACUAAUGGCAGCUCGGCGAUCCGCUGGCUUUAAAAAUUUCACAUCUGGCCUCGGGCCGAAUGGACCGUCCAACCGACCGGAUACGGAUAUAUCAUUUGACCAACAAGCCAAAAAACAAACUCACACAAACAAGCACCCAAAAAAGCAAAAAAAAAAAUGUCGAAAAAAGCUCCCCAGUAACCCAAAGUUUGGUUGGCUUGCAUGCGGUCACAAAAGAGCAGUAAAUUAAAAUUUACUCGACAUGAAAUUGAAGCGGCGCAGAGCUGCUCCUUGCCACCCUUUCCAUACAUUUUCCACAUCCCGAUACAUUUUCCCGUGGAAAUUCAUUCAAUAUGCAGUUCUCAC